AUUGAACGCUGGCGGCAGGCCUAACACAUGCAAGUCGAACGAGUGGCGGACGGGUGAGUAAUGUCUGGGAAACUGCCUGAUGGAGGGGGAUAACUACUGGAAACGGUAGCUAAUACCGCAUACCAUCGGAUGUGCCCAUAUGGGAUUAGAUAGUAGGUGGGGUAACGGCUCACCUAGGCGACGAUCCCUAGAUGGUCUGAGAGGAUGACCAGCACAACUGGAACUGAGCAACGGUCCAGACUCCUACGGGAGGCAGCAGUGGGGAAUAUUGCACAAUGGGCGCAAGCCUGAUGCAGCCAUGCCGCGUGUGUGAAGAAGGCCUUCGGGUUGUAAAGCACUUUCAGCGGGGAGGCGUUACCCGCAGAAGAAGCACCGGCUAACUCCGUGCCAGCCGCCGCGGUAAUUC
rnacentral:rRNA from 1 species